rnacentral:rRNA from 1 species
AAUUGGAGGGCAAGUCUGGUGCCAGCAGCCGCGGUAAUUCCAGCUCCAAUAGCGUAUAUUAAAGUUGUUGCAGUUAAAAAGCUCGUAGUUGAAUUUCGGGAUUGACGUGAUGGUCGUGCCUUAAGGGGUAUGAACUGUUGCUGUUGAUUUCUCACCUUCUGGAGAAACUUGAUGUCCUUAAUUGGGUGUCUUGCGGAUCCAGGACCUUUACCUUGAAAAAAUUAGAGUGUUUAAAGCAGGCAUUUUGCUCGAAUACAUUAGCAUGGAAUAAUAGAAUAGGACGGCAUGGUUCUAUUUUGUUGGUUUCUAGGAUCACCGUAAUGAUUAAUAGGGAUAGUUGGGGGCAUUAGUAUUCAAUUGUCAGAGGUGAAAUUCUUGGAUUUAUUGAAGACUAACUACUGCGAAAGCAUUUGCCAAGGAUGUUUUCAUUAAUCAAGAACGAAAGUUAGGGGAUCGAAGGCGAUCAGAUACCGUCGUAGUCUUAACCAUAAACUAUGCCGACUAGGAAUCAGACGAUGUUAAUUUUUUAAUGACUCGUUUGGCACCUUACGGGAAACCAAAGUGU